AAGGGAUCUGAGCUUUGUAUCCCAUUAUUGCCGUGAGUUAUCUGGAGGAUGAGGGUAUAAUACUACUUAUCAAGCAACACCAAGUUUGUUUACGUUCUAAGGUGGCACUGGAAAAACCAAAGCUUCCGGACAGAGAAGCUCCAGACAAGUCUCGAAAAUCAAGAAGGUGGAAAAGCAGCUGCUCAGGAAGACAGGAUUAACCCUGCUGCUUCUGGAUUAGGAAGAGAAAGAAACUUUUCCCUCAGAUGAAGAGGGGGCAAGGGAGUAUAGGGGAGGCAGUUCUAGUAUAGCUCUGGGAGUCCAAAGAUCUUUAGCGCUGGAAGGGGGCUCAAAGACCAUCUAAUCUACAUCGUCUUACAGAAGAGGAAACUAAGGGUGAGUUCUCCAGAUCCAGGACUCUCUCGGUCGCUGGAAGAGAGCGCGGGAAGGUGAUUCACGGAGGAAAGCCGAGCUCAAGGGCGACCACGAAUUCCGACACGGAGAUCUGGUCCGGCAUCGCCUCGGCCGGGACUCGAGCAGGGGGCACAGGCUGGGGUGAGCCGCCUCCACUGGCGACCCCUGAAGGAGGAUGGAAAGGAAGAGCCCAGCCGACCGCGACCUCGGGGACCCGGCCGCCGCCCCCUGCAGCCGCCCGAGCCUGCGGUUUCCCUCGCCCCAGCGACGCCCGGACAAAGGGAAACCCCAGCGCCGGCCGCCGCGGAGCCCGCCCUGCCCGGAGAGGGCCCGGGGCUGCUAGCCCGAGAGAGCGGGCUCAAAGCAACUCGUCCUCACUUCCAGCUUAGCCCCGGAGCCUCGGGAAGCUGCAGCCCUGGAAGCGCCUCGGCGACUCUCGCCUCCUCCCUCGUGUACGCUUUGGGGCCGUGGUUGUCGCCGCCGCCACCUCUCUGGCUCCCCUAGCCAGCAGCACUUCCCUCCUACCCGCUCGUCUUUUUUUUUCUUCUUUUUCUGAAUGAGACCCCGAAGCAGGCGCAUAGAGCCAGAGCGGGAACUACCCGCCACCCAGACUCGAGCACCUACUCCACCGCGGAGGAGGAGGAUGGAGGUGGGAGGGGCCGGAGUUCGAGGGCCGGAGGCAGGGCUGGGGAGGGGCGGGGACGGCAGCUCCGAAGAGAACUGCCAAUCACCGACCUCUCCGAGCCGCUGGAAAUCUAAUCCACCUGGAAAAAAAAAAUAGGGAUGGGAGGGGGAACUCAGGGUGGGCACGAUGGAGGCGUCCAGACUCGAUCCCCGAGCCCCAGCAUAGUCUAUGGAUACUUUCGGUGUUCUACUCCUUCCCCCACCCCCACCCCAGCAGUGCAAAUCCUAGAGCACAGUCAGAGCGUUUGGGGCCGGGCUUUCAGGCUGUAUCUGAGGGUUAGUACUCCGCCCCUUGCCCCGCCAGCUGUGCCUAAGCGUUCAAUGCUCCUCCCCUCCCCCUCGUUGUUUGAGUGUCCCGGGUCCCCCUCCCCGAGAGCGUGCGGCCCUUCGGACUCUUCCCCGCCCCCUACUCCCACCCCUAAGCUGGGUCUGAGAGUUCGGGAAGCUUUCCUUCCCCCAUCCCCAAGUGGUGGCCGCGAUCUCCAGGGAACUUCGAUUCCCUCUCCAGUGAGUUACCGUCUCCUCCCUUCUCCAAGGUCUAAGUACAUUUCUAAGUCUCUUCCCUGGUGCUCUAAAGUAUGGGAGGGGUGUGUAUGUUUCUGUUUUACGUGCACAUGCGUUAACAAACCCUAGAGUCCAAGCCAGAGUCCACCCCUAUUUCACCCUAACCCCACCCCUUUGGAGGAACCUCGCUUAUGCCUGUGUUCUCCCAUCACAAAGAGGACAAAUCCCUUUGCCUUAGAUUAAUAGUUUGAAGAUUGAGUCCCCUGAAUGAGAAUGAGCUACUCCCACUCAGUACAGCAUCCAAACGUCUCUCCGAUUCUUUUCCUCCUACCCUUCCUCAUUGUCCAAAAUUCACCUUGUCCUUAGAGGUAGAGGGAUCCUAGUUCUGGUGCCUCACGUCCCAGUAGUAUGCACUAAAUCCCGAGCUAUUCUCAAAAUGGUGCCUGUUGCUAGUUAGUUGUCUUGAAGUUAUGAAUGGCCGUUCGGUAAUAAGACAGACGAACGAUUACGUAAGAUGACAGAUUUAGAGCAGGAAGGACUUUUGAGGUCAUCUAGUCUAAUCUCGGCAUUUUACAGAAGAAGGUGCAUAGAGGUCAAAUUGUCCUAGGUCAUGAGGUCUCAAGUGUCAUGGUCAAGAUUCGAACCUAUGUCUUCUAACUCCAGAGUCUGAGCUCUUGAAAUUGUUUUAUGAAAUAUCAUAUUUACUUAAGUUUGAAUGUGAAAUCUCACUCGGAAGACCCUGUAAUAAAAUACUGCAGUGGGUAUUCCAGGAGGAAGUGGAGGAAAGUGGGGGAGGAGUGUUGUGGAUGACUGAAGAAGGUGGUUUUUCUCUUCAGGUAUGGCAGGGCCAUUAAGUAAAGGACCAGAAUUCAUUUGCAACAGCAGGAAAAUUUCAUAACAAAACCAGAUUAGCAAAAGAAAACAAAAUCCAGAAAAAGAGACUUUGUGUGUGUGUGCUUGAUAACUUUUGCAGAAAUUCCCACCCUUACCAAAAAAAAUCCCAAAGCUCUAAAGACAUUUCAUACUGGAGAAAUAUAUGCCUGGUUUUGUUUUAUAACUUACUUCAAAGUCACAUCUUUUAAGUUUUUACUAGGCCUGCCGAAUGGUUUGUGUUGCUACUAGCAAUAAAACCAAAACCAUCUUUACAGAAAUACUUUUUUGCAUCUGAAAAAGGAGGAUGUGUGAGAGAGACUAGUAAUGUAGUCUGACAGACUUAUAAACCUCAGGCAGAGAGGACAGACAACUCCAGCAGCAUUCAUUAAGUACCCAUCCAUCUAUGUGCUAUGUGAGGCAGAGCUCUGGUUGGUAGUGAUGACAUUAUCCUUGCUGACAGUUUAUCAGGAUUCUUCAUUAGCUAUAAUUUUGGUGUAAAAGUUUUAAUGCUGACUUAUCCUUACAUUUGGCAGCAAACUGUAAACUAUAGUAAAUGUCUCCCUGUUCCAGA